rnacentral:rRNA from 1 species
GACGAACGCUGGCGGCGUGCUUAACACCUGCAAGUCGAACGGAAAGGCCCUGCUUUUGUGGGGUGCUCGAGGGGCGAAGGGGUGUGAAACACGUGAGUAACCUGCCCUUGAUUGUGGGAUAACUUCAGGAAACUGGGGCUAAUACCGGAUAGGAGCUCCUGCUGCAGGGGGGGGGUUGGAAAGUUUGGGCGGGUGGGGAUGGACUCGCGGCUUAUUAGCUUGUUGGUGGGGUAGUGGCUUACCAAGGCGUGGGCGGGCGGCCGGCCUGGGAGGGUGGCCGGCCACAUUGGGACUGAGGUACGGCCCAGACUCCUACGGGGGGCAGCAGUGGGGGAUAUUGCACCAUGGGCGGAAGCCUUAUGCAGCAACCCCGCGGGCGGGAUGACGGCCUUCGGGUUUUAAACCGCUUUCCCCUGUGACGAAGCGUGAGUGACGCUAUUGGGUGAAAAGGCACCGCCUAACUACGUG